CAGUAAAUAGGUGAAGUUAAAUAUCUUCCUCUUCAUUGAUUAUUGAAUAAUUUAUUUAUUUUAAAUGUUCUCAGAACUCAUUUAUUUUUCGUGAAACAUUUUGCAGCUACUUUUGAAAAGCCAACAACAACAGACGAAAUUAUUAAAAACUGUACCCUUCACUGUCAACCGGCUUGUUUUGAGAGAAUAUAUGAAGUUGAAUAUCGAAAACUAACAAUUCCAGCCUCAGAUUGUGAUUUGAAAUAUAAUACGAGUUUUUUAGAGCAUUGCAAAGUUAAAACUGUGCAUAUUGAAUAUUCCUUUAGAAAGUUUCGAUUGAAACGACAGACAUACCAAGCUAAAUAUAAUAGUGUUGAACUAUUCAGCUACGUAGGAGGUUAUUUGGGACUCUGGCUCGGUAUAAGUCUAGUUUCGAUUUUUGAUUUGUGUGAAUCAUUUUGCAAAGUCUUGUGCAACUCUAAGAAAAAAAAAGGGUUUAAGAAGUUUCAAGCCACCUCCAAAGAAGUUAAUUAAUCAACCAUUUGCUUAGACUUUUUUUUUCUUAAAAAAACUGAAUCAUGCGUUUUAACCAUGACUGUGUUAUGAUUUUUUCGAAUUAUAAAAAAUUAUGUAUGAA